UCCAUCCCUGUAAGGGUCGACACUGGUAGCGACGAGAAGCAGGUACAGGGAGUGAACAUUCAAUGUCAACGGACAUGGAACAGGACAACACAGAGUCUGGACAUGAAUACAUAACGACGUUAAUGCAGACACAGGGAACAAACGGAGGAGCAGUUAUAGAAAGAGUCCAGGACAUUGCACAAUGCACUGUAACGCUCGCCUGAAGAAGAGGACCAAAGUACAGCGUGGGUAACAUGAAGACAGACAGACAACCCACCAACUGGAACAGCUCUUGAUAUGAGCCUCCCCUGUCUGGAGCAGAGCCUCCAACGCAGCUGAUUUGACCAAUUGAAUGCCAGAAGAGUGUUUCAACGGGAGUGAACUUCGAUACUCUUUUAUUUGCUAAACCCUUUAUUACACUUGGCAGAUAGACAACAAAAAACAACUGCUACCUCUGAAGGACAUUGUUGACUUUUUCCUGGGCACACUAGAGUUAAAGUCUCACCACGAUUAGGCUGAUUGGAUUGAAAUCAGACACUAAAGAGGCAACAUGUCUGGGAUCAAAAGUUCAGUGAAUUUGCUGAGGGUCGCAGUCAGGUCGCAGAUCGUCUCCAAAGCCGCCCUGUCACACAAGCCUGCGAAGCACCACAUAUCCGCGGGUGAGCAAGCCAUUGCAUUGACAGUCUUUUUCAUCACCAUCCUGGGGCCGUCUGGUUAUGUCCUGGCCCAUCUGGAGGACUACAAGCACCACUCCUAAGUGGACCUGUCCGGACUGACCCCCGAUCCACUUCACCGGUGAAUUACUCCAGAUGGCUUCUCCUGAAGUCUCCUGAACCCUUUAUAUGACGGAUGAUUAUAUUAAUGAAUGUACCAAUAAAUGAAUGUCCCAAUACUA